UUGAAACUUCCGACGACGUUCAUGUACGAAUUUUUCGGUGUCUCAGCCACAAUCAGAGAAGACGAGACUGCAAGAAACAAUUGUGCAUCGUUAGUUUCCACUCCUUAAUAACGUUUGACUGAGGACACCCAACUUUAUUUUUUUCACCAUUUUAGAUGAUUUAUCGAAAGUCAUUCGAAUCUGAAUAAUUGAAUGCAGGAAGAAAGAAUUGUAAUUUAAACAAAGAAUUGUAAGAAUAAUUCAUUGAUUUUUAUGUACUCA